GAGGUUGUGGCUCAGAGUAAAGCGCUUGCCUCGUACACAUGAGGCACUGGGUUCAAGUCUCAGCACCACA
rnacentral:tRNA from 1 species